rnacentral:rRNA from 1 species
AGAGACAGCAGUCGCCGCGGUAAAACGGAGGAUCCAAGCGUUAUCCGGAAUUAUUGGGUUUAAAGGGUGCGUAGGCGGCAUGCUAAGUCAGGGGUGAAAGACGGUGGCUCAACCAUCGCAGUGCCUUUGAUACUGGUGUGCUUGAAUGUACAUGAGGUAGGCGGAAUGAGACAAGUAGCGGUGAAAUGCAUAGAUAUGUCUCAGAACACCAAUUGCGAAGGCAGCUUACUAAGGUAUGAUUGACGCUGAUGCACGAAAGCGUGGGGAUCAAACGGGAUUAGAUACCCCCGUAGUCCCUGUCUCUUAUAC